ACAGAACCAAAAGUUGGUUCUUUGAGAAAAUCAACAAGAUAGAUAAACCCUUAGCCAGACUAACGAGAGGACACAGAGAGUGCGUCCAAAUUAACAAAAUCAGAAAUGAAAAGGGAGACAUAACUACAGAUUCAGAGGAAAUUCAAAAAAUCAUCAGAUCUUACUAUAAAAACCUAUAUUCAACAAAAUUUGAAAAUCUUCUGGAAAUGGACAAUUUCCUAGACAGAUACCAAGUGUAUCUCCAAGUGUACAAGAGAAAACUUUCCAGCACUCAAAUCUCUUAACAUGUGUCACUGAUGAAACAUUUGUCUCCACCCACUCUCUUCCUCACUUUAAAAUACUGAAGGUUGUACUCUGCACUGGGAGAGAAGAGAUCCCCAGACUUCACCAAUACUUCCCAAAGUGACUCUGCCCUUUGCUUUUCUCCUUUGUAAAAUUCUAUUUUACUUUGCUGCUGAAACUAGAAACUUUUGAGUGCCGUAACCUUCUGGUAUCAGUGAUUCAGCUUGCCUUGGUUCAGUCCCUUUUGACUAGCAGAUGUGGGAUGAUUUCAUCAUGCAGGUGUAGGCAGGUACAAGAUAGAACGAAACCUGUCAUUGGACGAAAGGAUGGGUGGGAGAAAAGUUUGAGGUUAGAGGAGGAGAUGGAACUGAAAGGACAAGAGAGGAGAAGGCGGAGAAGCCAACUCCAGGAGAGAACAUGGAGGCUAACGUUAAGAUUCCAUGCUGUACCUUCACAGGUUGUUAUGAAUGUUCUUAAGGGAUGGAUGUGUACAGGGCUUUGUAUAAUUAGGUGGGCAAUUACGUCUUAUCAAUUGGAUCAGAGGUUAUUGUGUUGUGUGUUCUUUCAUGUGCAGAUUUAAGUGUAAGAGAGUGUGCGGCAGCUAGUCAGGGCUGCCACGGAGUUGGGAUGUGUGUUUCUGGCAAGAUGUCUAGCAGAUAUCUUGGGGGCACUACAGUACUGGCUCUAGGGGGGCUAAAAGAAAACCGUUUUUUAUAAUUUUACAACAACAAGCAGACAGUGAGUCCCUUCAUUUUUUUUUUAAAUCUUCCUUCCACUUGUAGUCUCAGCUCUAAUCUUGGUAGUUUUUGAAAUGCUCAUGGUUUGGACUUCAGCAUACAAUUUUGAGGCAGAUGCAACUCAAUCUACAUGUGCCAAUGUAUUCUAGUGGUAGUACUGAUCCUGAGAUAGGAAAUUAGGAUCAGUGUUUAAGCAAUCUUAGUUUCUUGAAGUCCUAUCUAUAUAACCUGUUAUAUUUGCAGUCUGUCAACUCAGGUACCUACGGAAAAUGUUCAACACAUCAAAAAAUUAUGACAGCAUGCGGGAGGCAGAUGCAGGUGGAUCUCUGUGACUUUGAGGCCAGCUUGGUCUACAUAAUAAGUUCCAGAACAACCAAAGCUAUGUACAGAGACCCUGCCUCAAAAAGAAGAAGAAGAAGAAGAAGAAGAAGAAGAAGAAGAAGAAGAAGAAGAAGAAGAAGAAGAAGAAGAAGAAGAAGAAGAAGAAGAAGAAGAAGAAGAAGAAGAAGAAGAAAGAAAGGGAAAAAGUUUAGCCUGAGAGGACUCAGUGGGGGUGGGUGGGUGAGAGAGAGAGAGAGAGAGAGAGAGAGAGAGAGAGAGAGAGAGAAUAAAACAACAAAGAAAAGUCUAUUAGUGUCCCCAAAAAUGCCAAUUUGACUUUUGGUAUUUAGGGAUUCCUAAACUAAAUAUAAUGUUACAUUAAUUCAUAGAUCACUUGCUGCAUGCCAGAAUUUGUGCAGAUAGAUUUGGGUAACCAUGUUUCUCCAGCUCUUGUCUCCUCUGUACUAUCAGGUAUGAUUCUUUUAUGUACGUCAUAGUUGAACUUUAUCAUCCAAAGUUGUUUGAUGGUUCACAACAACAUGAGGCAUGCUUGCUUCCUGAUUCUCUGAUUUCCAGUGUUGAACCAUGUUAAAGAGGCACUUGAGGCCAGGGCUCUAAGAAAUUUAUCAGCUCAGUCUUUUCCAUCUUCAGGUUCUUACUUGAAAUGAGUGGAAGAGUCUGAAAGAAAAACAGUGCCAAAUGUAGGAUCAUUUCCCUUUGGUUGACUGACUUUGGUCAAGAGCCUAGCUUGCUUGCCCAUCUUUCCUUUGAACAUAUGGUCUCUACUUCCUUUAUCCUUGUAAGCAAUUAGACUCUGACGAGUCUGUGCUCCACAUCACCAGGGACCGUCAGUAAAGGACCACAGGCUGUCUUGGAUCUUCCCCUUCACUGAAGACAAGCAAAAGUCCUGUGUUGUUAUGCUGUUUUUCCCGAUGCUUAUGUUUUCAGUAUAAAUGUCAUCCACAGUGGAGGGUUACCAUCAAUGAUAAAAUUAGCACACUUCAAAUUCCGCCGAUCUUAUAAUAAUGCCCACUAGCCCUCUGUCUUUAUUGUUCAUUGUUAUUAUGUAAGUAAUCCAUAAUUACAUUGUACUUACAUUGUAUUACAUAAUACAUUAUAUUAUGUAAGUACAAUGCUAUUCAUGUUGAAGUCUCUUUUUUACUAUCUAAGUAUUACAUCUCUUUAUUCAAAUGUGAAGUUGGGCAUCAUUGAAAAAGUACUAAACAAGAUAUGUUAUAUGUUAUAUCUUAUAAUGAUAUUUUAUACAUCUUAUAUAAUAUAUAUUAAAACAUAUCUUAUAAAGAUAUAAUAAUAUAACUUAUUAUAUAAUAUAAAAUCAAUGCAUCUUAAAAUUUAAAAGAUGUUUCAUAAAAGUUUUAUUACAGAACUUUAUUAUUUUAUUACAAAUAGUUUAUGAACCAGAACUUGAAUUUUGCUUUCUUUGACUAGAUUUUCACUUUGUUUUGCUUCAUUUGUUUUAUUGUUGUUGUUUUGUUUUAAGUAAAGCAUGCCAUUAAAAACAAAACUCCCAUAUUCCUUAAAUUUUUAUGUUAUUAUCAACAAGAUAUUUUUAUAAAUCAUGAACUAAUAACUAACAUUAUUUCAUGAAAAUACACGUAUCGUCUUUCCCAGGAAAAAAAUUUAAAGUUUCUUUUUAAAAAACUAAAAACAUCAUAACACCAAAAUUGAAAUGAACCAUAAAAUGGAGUCACAAAGCUCUGGGCAUUUCCCUGGCGUUCUGUUUCCCAAGAACAGUGAUGUCAUAAUGUCCUAUUGAGUCUUAGGACCUUCUGGGCCACAAGAAGAAAGUCCUGAGGAGACAGUAGAUUGCUGGAUAAAUCACACCAAUUUCCCAAUGGAUUUUAUACUGUUGAUCUUUUUAUCUGGAGUUUUCCUCCCGAACAUUUUCAGUCUACAGCCCACUGUGGAACAGGAUCCUGGUGUGACGAUUUCAGAUGAUCAGUAUUAUGAUGAGGAAGAAAAUAAUACAGAUGAGAAUUCUGCUAUUUUCCAAAAAUUAGAAGAUAAUGGAGGUGAUACUCCUGCCAAUGAGAAAACUGGCAAUUACUAUAAAGACAUAAAGCAAUAUGUGUUCACUACACCAGAUUCAAAAGGCACGAAAACUGAAGUGUCUGUGACAGCCACAACUGACCUGAAGUUUACUAUGAAGGACUAUAAAUCCAGCAAAGCAACUGCCAGUGGAGAAGAAGAUAAACGUAGUGAACCCUCUCGUAAAAGCUCAACCCCCAAUGUGCCUGCAUUCUGGACAAUGUUAGCGAAAGCUAUAAAUGAAACAGCAGUGAGCAUGGAUGAUAAAGAUCUAUUUUAUCAAGCAAUUCCAGCCUCUGAUUUAAAUAGUACCAAUGAAGACCAGCUGUCAGAGCUAGAGGAAAUCAAGCUCAAAUUAAUGCUGGGAAUCUCACUGAUGACACUUAUUCUCUUAAUUCCCCUCUUGAUAUUCUGUUUUGCCACACUGUACAAAUUGAGACACCUACGCGACAAAACUUGUGAGAGCCAAUACUCCGUCAACCCAGAGCUGGCAACUCUGUCUUACUUCCAUCCAUCAGAAGGCUCUAAUCAAACAGUCUUAACCGAAGAGUCAAGCUUCCUUCCUCCUGAGGAGUCGGGUAAGGUGGUCAUCAUUGAAAGUAACACAGUGAAUGAGGCUGAAGUCACGGAAGAAAGAAUCUCUGAACGAAGGAACUGUUUUGCUGGGGGAGGCUGUGUGCAGUUCUGUGAGUCGAUCAUCUAUUUGAAGUGUCCAGUUGCCACUGGUUGGUAAUCAAACAGGAACCUAGCAUGGCUGUCCUCUAAGAGGCUCCACCCAGAAGCUGACUCUGACAGAUGCAGAGACCACAGCCAGAGUGGAUGGAGCUCGGGACUCGACAGGAAGACCAACAGGAUCAACCUGUAUUCUCGGAGCUCUCAGAGGCUGAACCACCAAGCAAAGAACUGGCUGAACCUAGGUCUCCCUGUACAUAUGUAGCAGAUGUGCAGCUUGAUGUUCAUGCUGGCCACUUGGACAACCUACCAGGGAUCUUAUCUCAAGGGAAGAAUGAUUAUUCCUCUCUCCGGUAGGAUGAUGAAUACUUUAAAGGUUUGUUCAUCCUGUCACAAAUGAUAGAAUUUCCUUCUUGUAAAAUCCAAAUAGCAUCUCAGUAUGCAGUACGUAUUCUUUAUCCAUUGACUGACACUUAUGUCGAUUCCAUCCCAUGGUCAUUUUGAACAAUUCUGCAGUGGACAUGGGGUUGCAGCUGUUGCUUUAAUAUGCUGACUUCAUUUCCUGUUGUACCAACCACCUAGUUAUAGGUCUCUUUAAAUUGCUUAUCUGGUCUUAAUUUAACCUCAGCAGGUAGUAUAUAAAGCAAUUUUUCCAUUCAUUCUAGGUAUCACAGUUUGGUGGAUUGCAGAUUUUUAAAUUAUUAUGAUUCACUGGAUUUCCUUGCUGUCUGUUACUGUCUCUCCUUUUCUUUUCUUUCUUUUUUUUGGGGGGGAAUAGGGGUUCCCUAACAAGAGUGUAUUAAGAUUUAUUUAUUUUAAACAUAUCAGGUUUUGGUAAACAUUAAUGGAUGUUUUCUUCCAUCAUAACUAAGCCAUUUUAGACAGAAUAAGAAUACAGCAGAAUAAUCAGGUUUACAAAUUGUAACUAGAAAAGACUGCUGAUAUUUAGGUUUCUAUGUAACAUACUAAUAGUUAUUGCAUCAGGAAUUUUUUAAUUUUUUAUUAUAUAUUUCUUUACUUACAUUUCAAAGAUUAUUCCCCU